rnacentral:rRNA from 1 species
GACGAACGCUGGCGGCGUGCCUAAUACAUGCAAGUCGAGCGAACUUUAAGAGUGCUUGCACACUUAAAGUUAGCGGCGAACGGGUGAGUAACACGUAAAGAACCUACCUUAUAGACAGGGACAACUAUUGGAAACGAUAGCUAAUACCUGAUAAGAAAGAAACUCGCAUGAGAGAAGUUCGAAAGUCGGAGCAAUCUGACACUAUAAGAUGGCUUUGCGGUGCAUUAGCUAGUUGGUAGGGUAAAAGCCUACCAAGGCGACGAUGCAUAGCCGACCUGAGAGGGUGAUCGGCCACAUUGGGACUGAGACACGGCCCAGACUCCUACGGGAGGCAGCAGUAGGGAAUCUUCCGCAAUGGACGAAAGUCUGACGGAGCAACGCCGCGUGAGUGAAGAAGGAUUUCGGUUCGUAAAACUCUGUUGUUAGGGAAGAAAAAAUGUAUAGUAACUAUAUACAAA